UUUGUGGUAUAGUAAGAUACAGAAACUUUUUGAACGAAAGAACUAAAUUGACUUUGCAGUUUGUUCAAAUUUAUAAGUUAUUCGGCUGAUAGAAAUUUUAAAGUGAAACAAAUUCUAAUAAAAAAUUAACUUAUUUGAUUGCUAACCAAAAUUAACUGUUGGAAAUACCAUUUGGAGCUAUAGUUGAGGAUAUUUGGAGAUUAAAAUUGAAGACAUGAAUUUUUUAAUAAACGCCACAAAGAAUAUUGUUCGGGAUUCUAUUUCAAAUAACGCUGGCAGGUGUUCCGAUUUCCUUCCUAAACGUUCUUUAUAUACCGACCAGACUCCUGUCUUGUCACAUAGAGUGGACCUCUUUCAACGCUUCACUUUUACUAAAGAGGUGGAUAAUAAUGAAUGUUUUCAUGAAGAUGAUUUGAAUAAUUUGUCUGACGAAGGAGGGGUGUCAUUUUUACACAAAAUUGACUAGUGUUUCUAUGAACUACUGCUUUAGUAAUUGUUUGGUAAGAAAACGAAUAAAGAAAUAUAAUAAUAAUCUUUUCAGAAGUCCGUCUUUAAUCAAGACUAGUAUAUAAGUGCAAGUGAGACGAAAUGAAUUUCUUGGAAAUUAUUUGAUAACUAACUUUUGAUAUUUGUGAAAGAUUAAAGAUUAAGAUUUUUUUGAUAUUUGAAUG